rnacentral:rRNA from 2 species
UUGGACCUGAUAUCAGGUAAGA